GAUGAACGCUGGCGGCGUGCCUAAUACAUGCAAGUCGAGCGAACAGAUGAGGAGCUUGCUCCUCUGACGUUAGCGGCGGACGGGUGAGUAACACGUGGAUAACCUACCUAUAAGACUGGGAUAACUUCGGGAAACCGGAGCUAAUACCGGAUAAUAUAUCGAACCGCAUGGUUCAAUAGUGAAAGACGGUUUUGCUGUCACUUAUAGAUGGAUCCGCGCCGCAUUAGCUAGUUGGUAAGGUAACGGCUUACCAAGGCAACGAUGCGUAGCCGACCUGAGAGGGUGAUCGGCCACACUGGAACUGAGACACGGUCCAGACUCCUACGGGAGGCAGCAGUAGGGAAUCUUCCGCAAUGGGCGAAAGCCUGACGGAGCAACGCCGCGUGAGUGAUGAAGGUCUUCGGAUCGUAGAGCGCUGUCAUUAGGGAAGAACAAAUGUGUAAGUAACUAUGCACGUCUUGACGGUACCUAAUCAGAAAGCCACGGCUAACUACGUG
rnacentral:rRNA from 1 species